rnacentral:rRNA from 1 species
GACGGAGGAUGCAAGCGUUAUCCGGAAUGAUUGGGCGUUAAGCGUUCGCAGGUGGCAGUUCAAGUCUGCUGUCAAAGACCGGGGCUUAACUUCGGAAAGGCAGUGGAAACUGAACAGCUAGAGUAUGGUAGGGGCAGAGGGAAUUCCUGGUGUAGCGGUGAAAUGCGUAGAUAUCAGGAAGAACAUCGGUGGCGAAGGCGCUCUGCUGGACCAUAACUGACACUCAGGGACGAAAGCUAGGGGAGCGAAUGGG